rnacentral:ncRNA from 1 species
AUUUAUAUAAUUUCAUAUAUGCGUAUAAUUUGGGGAAUACGGCCCAAGAGUUUCUACCGGAUCACCGUAAAUGGUCUGACUACGCAGGAUUGAGUACAUGAU